UACAUUGUGUAACUGUACUAUGUGAACGAUUGUACUUUUAGAACACGUGCGCAUUUGCAUAAUGGUACAUCAGAUGAUGGGUUGUAAUUAGUCAUAAAAACAUCUGUCAGAUCUGAGAAAAACAACUGAUUUCGUUUUAUAUUAUAGGACCAGAUUGAAUCAGACAAAUACUGGUAAAGGUCUUAAGAUUACCGACACUUCUAUCGAUUGCUGAGAAUUGUGUUUGAAGUGCUGAAAUAAAGACAGAGGGCGUAGUAGCCAUGUGAUGAAGACACAAUCAUCUUCCAAUUUCAAGACAAAUGGUUCAAAUCCUGCGAGAUCAAGAUCAGGAAAAAACAAAG